GCGACCGUGGUCCAGCCUGGUAAGACUCCAGCUUCCCGAGCUGGCUACGCGGGUUCAAAUCCCGCCGGUCGCA
rnacentral:tRNA from 1 species